rnacentral:rRNA from 1 species
CCAGACUCCUACGGGAGGCAGCAGUGGGGAAUAUUGGGCAAUGGGCGCAAGCCUGACCCAGCAACGCCGCGUGAAGGAAGAAGGCCCUCGGGUUGUAAACUUCUUUUGUCAGGGACGAAGAAAGUGACGGUACCUGACGAAUAAGCCACGGCUAACUACGUGCCAGCAGCCGCGGUAAUACGUAGGGAGCAAGCGUUAUCCGGAUUUACUGGGUGUAAAGGGAGCGUAGACGGAAAGGCAAGUCAGAAGUGAAAACCCAAGGCUCAACCAUGGGACUGCUUUUGAAACUGUCAAACUAGAGUACGGGAGAGGUAAGAGGAAUUCCUAGUGUAGCGGUGAAAUGCGUAGAUAUUAGGAGGAACACCAGUGGCGAAGGCGUCUUACUGGACCGAAACUGACGUCGAGGCUCGAAAGCGUGGGGAGCAAACAGGAUUAGAUACCCUCGUAGAA